rnacentral:rRNA from 1 species
UACGGAGGGUGCAAGCGUUGUCCGGAAUCACUGGGCGUAAAGGGCGCGUAGGCGGCUCAUGAAGGCUGUGGUGAAAGUCCGGGGCUCAACCUCGGAUCGGCCGUGGCGACUCGUGGGCUGGAGCACUGUAGAGGCAGGUGGAAUUCCGGGUGUAGCGGUGGAAUGCGUAGAGAUCCGGAAGAACACCAGUGGCGAAGGCGGCCUGCUGGGCAGUGGCUGACGCUGAGGCGCGAAAGCGUGGGGAGCAAACAGG